rnacentral:rRNA from 1 species
AACGAACGCUGGCGGCAUGCCUAACACAUGCAAGUCGAACGAGACCUUCGGGUCUAGUGGCGCACGGGUGCGUAACGCGUGGGAACCUGCCCUUAGGUUCGGAAUAACUCCCCGAAAGGGGUGCUAAUACCGGAUAAUGUCUUCGGACCAAAGAUUUAUCGCCUUUGGAUGGGCCCGCGUUGGAUUAGCUAGUUGGUAGGGUAAAAGCCUACCAAGGCGACGAUCCAUAGCUGGUCUGAGAGGAUGAUCAGCCACACUGGGACUGAGACACGGCCCAGACUCCUACGGGAGGCAGCAGUGGGGAAUAUUGGAAAAUGGGCGAAAGCCUGAUCCAGCAAUGCCGCGUGAGUGAUGAAGGCCUUAGGGUUGUAAAGCUCUUUUAACCGGGAUGAUAAUGACAGUACCGGGAGAAUAAGCGCCGGCUAACUCCGUG